rnacentral:tRNA from 1 species
GCCGGUAUGGCAGAGAGGUUAAUGCCUUCGCCUGCAAAGCGAAUGUUUGGGGGUUCAAUUCCCUCUACCGGCG